rnacentral:rRNA from 1 species
UACAGAGGGUGCGAGCGUUAAUCGGAGUUACUGGGCGUAAAGGGUGCGUAGGCGGGUCUUUAAGUCAGGGGUGAAAUCCUGGAGCUCAACUCCAGAACUGCCUUUGAUACUGAAGAUCUUGAGUUCGGGAGAGGUGAGUGGAACUGCGAGUGUAGAGGUGAAAUUCGUAGAUAUUCGCAAGAACACCAGUGGCGAAGGCGGCUCACUGGCCCGAUACUGACGCUGAUGCACGAAAGCGUGGGGAGCAAACAGG